CAACAAGCAAAAGGGAGCGCGGACCGAA
rnacentral:piRNA from 1 species